rnacentral:rRNA from 1 species
UACGUAGGGUGCGAGCGUUAAUCGGAAUUACUGGGCGUAAAGCGUGCGCAGGCGGUUUUGCAAGCCGGAUGUGAAAUCCCCGGGCUCAACCUGGGAAUGGCAUUCGGGACUGCAAGGCUGGAGUGCGGCAGAGGAGACUGGAAUUCCUGGUGUAGCAGUGAAAUGCGUAGAUAUCAGGAGGAACACCGGUGGCGAAGGCGGCUUGCUGGGCCUUACCUGACGCUGAGGAGCGAAAGCGUGGGGAACGAACAGG